UUACGAUCACUUUAAGGCAAGUUUAAUGUUUAGUUGGAGAUAAUUCUAAAAUGGACUAAAUUAAUAUUGAACAAUAAAACAAAGAUAACAUGCAACAAGAUGGAGGUUAGUGGAAAGAGUAUUUAAUGCAAUUGAAAUUGAUUCUAAAUUCAGCCCAAGAAUCACUGAUAUUGGACUUUUGACUGACAUUGGGAGUCCAAUGAGUCGAGAUUAUGCUCAUAAAGCCUUAUCUAAAAAAGGGAAUCUAACGGGAUAACUAGAAUCGAUCUAAACGAGAUUUAAGGAUUGCACCAAGUCCAUAGCAUUGCAGCAAUACGAUUUCAGUACAUUUCCAAUAAAACGUAAGAGCCAAAAUUCACGAUAACCAAAAAGAGAUUUCAAAGAUCAAAAGCGAAUAUAAACAAUGCCGGACAGAAUUUAAUGGAAUAGUUAAAACAAUUGGUCAAGCCCAUGCUGAAGCUAUUCUGGACAAAGAUGAAGAUAUUUUGGUUGUUGCUACAAUGUGAAAAGACACAAUUGUUAUAUGCAUUCACAAAUUGACACAAAUGGGCAAAAACGAAUGUAAAUUAAUUUUUUUCAAAUUUAGAAUCUGUAGGACAUGAAGACUAAAUCCAUUUGUGCGAUUCAAAAUUUUGUCUGAUGAACAGUUUUCGAGUAAAUUGAAUUGGUAGUUUGAA